UAAGCUCGGGAAACUGAGAAUAAUGCCCCAUAGUCCACUACGCCUGGAACGGUGAGUGGAUUAAAGCUCCGGCGGCAUAGGAUGGGCCUGCGGCGUAUCAGGUUGUAGGGGGUGUAAUGUACCCUCUAGCCAUCCACGCGUACGGGUGUUGGGAGACAUUGCCCGGAGAUGGAUUCUGAGACACGAAUCCAGACCCUACGGGGUGCAGCAGGCGCGAAAACUUGGCAAUGCGAGAAAUCGUGACCAGGGAACUCCAAGUGGCAGGGGUAAGACCCUGUCUUUUUCCGACUCUAAAUAGGUCGGCGAAUAAGGGGUGGGUAAGGACGGUGCCAGCCGCCGCGGUAAUACCGGCGCCUCAAGUGGUAGUCGCUUUUAUUGGGCCUAAAACGUCCGUAGCCGGUCUGGUACAUUCGUGGGUAAAUCAACUCGCUCAACAAGUUGAAUUCUGCGAGGACGGCCAGACUUGGGACCGGGAGAGGUGUGGGGUACUCUCACGCUAGGGGUAAAAUCCUGUCAUCCUGAGAGGACCACCUGUUGC
rnacentral:rRNA from 1 species